AUAAAUAAUGAACUCAUCCUGGGGGCCAGCCAGAGCCUACAACUCUGUGACGAACCCCUAAAUCCCUUUCUCUUUCCUUCUGGUUCUGGAAGGGGUCCUCUCAGUCGGAGACACAAAGAGACCCAUUUGGACUCAGAUCCCUCAGUAAGGAAGAUGUGGCCGUGGAGAAAGAGGACCCCCUUCCAUACCCUCCCGACCUGGUAGCAGGGCCUGGGGCCAGACUGUCUUACAAGGAGCACCAGUCUAUGGCUAUGAGGUCUAGAACCACUGCAACCAUUUGUGACCAUGCAGGAAGAUUCUGGAACUGCUAUAGGUUGUGGGGAAGCCCAGAAAGGUGCCUGAAGAGGAAGCCAACACCACAGAAGGCAGAGCCAAGAGGAGAAAAAGAAGUUCUUGUGAUGGCAUCAAGUCCCUGGAUCAAGCCUCACCUGAAGCCUAACCUAUUGCUGGUCUUUUUAGUGGCCUCAGCCAGUUAAAUGUUCUUUAUUAUAUAACCCAAUUUAAAUAAGGAUUUCUAUGUCUUGCAACAUAAAGGGCCCAUGUAUAAGGAAACCUUAGAAUAGGUACCCAACAGUGCCAAGGGCCUCCUCUGCACCCCAAGCCUCUAGGAGGAAGUGAGCCUGUUCCAGAACCCAAAUAAAAGGUCUCUCCUCCCA